rnacentral:rRNA from 1 species
UACGGAGGGGGCUAGCGUUGUUCGGAAUUACUGGGCGUAAAGCGCACGUAGGCGGCUUUGUAAGUUAGAGGUGAAAGCCCGGAGCUCAACUCCGGAACUGCCUUUAAGACUGCAUCGCUUGAACGUCGGAGAGGUAAGUGGAAUUCCGAGUGUAGAGGUGAAAUUCGUAGAUAUUCGGAAGAACACCAGUGGCGAAGGCGGCUCACUGGACCGGCAUUGACGCUGAGGUGCGAAAGCGUGGGGAGCAAACAGG